UUGGUGGUGGUCGCUCCACCCAAGCAGUGCACUCCGGAGGUUGUCACAUGAUGAGCUAAAGUAUUUGCCCAUGGACUAAAGUACCUGUUCAGCAGACGAUCCCGUCGGGAUGCAGCUUAGGGCCCGAUUAUCAGGGAUUGCGUUGGUUCUAGCGUGAGCGUUGUGGCCGAGGAUCGCGGCGAGAGCCGAGCAGCCUAGCUAGUGGACACCCGAGUUCUAGUGGUAUACCAUUUUGGUUUCAUAUUGCACGUAAUGAUGAACAGAGAGAUAUGUAAAUGAAAAUGUAAAUGAUGUAAAUAACUAAAUGUUCAGUUAUUCAGUUAUAUAUAGUUUAGUGUUAAACGUUUUAAAUUACAGUGAAUUUCAUGUAUAGUUAGCUUA